AGGCCUCAGGCUGAGAGAGAAACAAGAAGGUGAAAGUUCCUAAUGUCAUCAAACAAAAUUACAACAAGUUUAGUUUAAAGAUCUUAAUUGGCUUUUAUUUGUGAUUCUAGAAUCAGGCAAUUCAGAAUCUGCCUCAUUCUAUAAAGUAGAAUGUUGUGAUGAGCUGGGAAGAGGAGGUUGGUUUUACAAACAGAAAGGAGCUGAGGAAAGCAGAAACAGAGAACCGGUGGAUUAGUCGUUUCAAAGUUACCUUCAUUAUAAAGAUCAAGGCAGAGGGGAUUUCCUCAUCAUGCUCAUUGAGACUGGCCUGUUUGGGGAUUUGGCUGUUAUCUCUCUCUCUCUCUCUCCUAUUUAUUGGAAGUUCAGGUCACAUAUCCAUCUCUGAGUCUGUCACUGGGAGAAUGGGAUGCUUUUUUGGACCAGGCCUGACUUACAUACCCAUCUGGGACAAUAGGACUUUCUAUGGGGACAACUUCAUCUGUACAUGGACAGAGACUGAAGAAUGGAGGCUGGAGUGCAGUGGUGCAAUCAUGGCUCACUACAACCCCGACCUCCUGGGCUCAAGCCAUCCUCCUGCCUCAGCCUCUCAAGUAGCUGGGACUACAGAAACCCUGGACCAACUCCUUGAUUGCACCUGUGAGAGGCCCUGAAGCGGAGGGCCCAGCUAAGGUGUGUCUGGAUUUCUGACCCACAGAAACUGAGAUCAUAAAUGUGUGGUUUUAAGCCCUACUCCAGCACUUUCACAGUCAUUUACGGCAUCUGCAGAGCAGUGAAAAAUUUGAAUUGCCUGAGAUACAUGCUCCCUGCUGAAGUCGCACAAGCUGGCCAAUCCUGCUAAUCCUUUAAAACUCACCUGGAGGGAAGGCCUCCUUCUGCAAAGCCUCUCUUGAUGCAGAUUAUCAGCUUUCACUCUCUACCAGAUGGCAAGGAUAUUGCUGUUGGCUCAUAGGAUGUGAACAGUGGUGUUGAGAUUACCCUCAUUUGGCUGAUGAUGUCAUUGAGGCCCAGAGAAGGUAGGACACCUGGCAGGGCCUGGCUUUGGGGCUAACUUCUGCAGCUCUUUUGAUUGCCCCCACCUUACAGUUUUUGGCACAGAGCACUGUGUAGCUGGCACUUCUCUACUGGCCCGAAUGAGAAAACUUCCUCAGAGCAAAAUGUCAAGCACCAAAUAAGAUUCAUGUUUACUGUGAAGUGAUUGCUGCUUUUUAAAUGCUUAUCAGAAGCCGAAGGACAAACUCAGUAGGUUGAUUCAUGCUGAGCUCGACUACCUCCGUGAGAAAUGACUCUCCUGUAGGGCUCGAUGACCUUCAUGUCAAUGCGCUGCUCUUGUUCUCCAAUGACCACUGUCCUCCAAAGCCGGUUGUCCUCCCGUUCCUCUUCGGCCGUAUAUUCUGGAAUAGACUCUGACUCUUGGCCAGAAUCUUUGUUGGCUGUGGGAUCUUCUGGAAACAAAGCACAGAGCAAGGCUGAAGGAGCAAGACCUCCACAGUGCAGCUAAACAGCCAAAUGAGUCUCCCGCAAGUCAGGAAAACUGGAUAAAAAGAGGCCUAAAUGUGAGCAAGAGCUAUCAUGUUUGGCUUCAAGUAUGUCCUGACAACUCUGUAUAUGAUCUUCAGUGCCCUUUACCUGGCCGAAGUAUCCUCCCAGGUAACAUUCUUUGAACUCACCCAAGCAGUCACCAGCUCUUAUGCCAAUCUCGCUUGACAUUGGUUCCCAUAACAUAAGUGACAAUCUUAUGUGUAGGCUCCCUCCUCUCAUUGUAGUAUGCAUCUUCCCGCUCAGCUGCCUUUCAUUUAAUAGAAGCAGAGCUGGAGAAGUCAUUUUUUAACCAAGCUUAAACUAACAAAACAAAGGUAGAGACAUACCCUACUGUAGUAUAAUAAGAAAUGUAUUUGGUCUUUGGCCCUGGUUCCAGGCACAGAGGUCUUAAAACCCUUGUCAUUUCCUAAGGUGGAUAGUGUCAGAAUUGAAUUAUAGGACACCCAGUUGGUGUUCAUUAGAAAAUUGCUUGGUGUGUGGCAAACAAAACAAAACAAAACCCUACACAUCUGGUCACAGAAGUGUUCAGUGUGAGAGCAGAGUAGGAGAAAACAGUUUGUUGCCUUCACCUAAAACCAGAAAUGACAGGAUUCCUAAGCACGAAAUAUUUUGAAGACCAUUUGGCAUACCCUUCAACUCUGGAAUUCUGGCUCUGGCCUUGUCCUGGAGAAAUUGGCACUGUUCCCCUGUCAGUCAUUAAGCUUUUUCUUUUCUGAAUGGAACAUCACCCAAACUCUGUUCUAGGUAAUGGUUUUAUGUAUUACUUGAAAAAGGUUUCUAUUGACAAGUAAGUUUCAACACUGAGUUUCUAUAUUUCAGGAAUUUGCAGAGCAGUGAUGUCCCAAAGAAUUCUUUGUGAUGAUGAAAAGGUUCUAUAUUUGGCUAUUGAGCACUUGAAAUGAGGCUAGUGCAACUGAAGAAGAGCAUUUUAAAAAAUUGUUUUUAAUUUUAAUUAAUUUAAAUAGCCACAUGUGACUAGCUGCUUACCAUAUCAGAUAACCAUAGCCUUAGUGCCUUUAUCAUUCAAAAGUACAUUGUGAACUUGGAAGAUUCAAAUAAACAUACUGUGGUUACCAAGCAUAUUUGGCCAUAGAACAUUUAGAAAUAAUUCUGUUACAUGACUAGUAUUUUGAAGAAUGCAUUUCAAAUACUACGACAGAAAAGAAAUGUAAUUGCCUUCCUUCUUCCUACCACACUGUAGGCUUGGCUGAGAAUACAUGAUUCAGGAUCUUGGUAUGAUCCUGGAGUUGGUGUAAUGCAAGAGAGUGACCCUGGAAUACAGUGAGAGUCAUAUAAGUUGCAAUUGAAAAAUUAAAUUCCUUUUUGUGUAUGCCUUGGGUUGUAAACCCCUAAAAUGUAGGGUAGUUGUUUUUUAUUGUUGUUGUCUUGGUUUUGGUUUUGAUAGUUAGGAUACUGAGCAUUCUUGAUAUCACAUUUCCAAUUUUAAACAUUCUUACAAUUAUGUGUAAAUGCGGAGAACUUAGACAUUAGUCAGAAUUUGGUACAAUAUACAGUAGCCAAUUAUCACAGGAACUGAAAACAUUGGCAGAUAAGGCUGUGGUCUAGGAGAUAAAAUGCAGCCCACACUAGCGAGCAUCAGUAUUCAAGCCAACUCUUAAAUUAACCAAAUGCAGCCUAACACCUUCAUAUCACACAUUUCUUUUUUCCUCUCACUGUUAUCACUGAAAUCAUAAGUUAGAUGCACAGGAAAUAAUUCUUUCACUGAAUAAUGAAAACGUUGGGAUACAGAAUACCAACGAAGGAAAUGAACAAAUGCUGCUCUCACCAGGCCUCAUGUCUGCAGCACUGGGACUCAGCACGCCCUCUUCAAAGGGGAUGUCCAUUCCUACAUCCUCUGACAGUAGUCUGCAAAAAAAGCAAAGCAAAGCGCGUCAACAACAACUGUGUAAGACUUCAUUUCUUUUGAAAAGGAAACCCACAGAGUCCAGGAUAACAUUUUCAACUCACUUAAAAUAAACCAUGUAUGGGGACUGAAUCCACUGUAAGUGGUCCCAAAUUAAAGACUUUCUGCAGUUAUGGUAAAUGAGAAAAAUGGACACCAAUUUCACUUGCUUACAUCAAGUCACUUCUGCUAGCUCACUUAAUAAACACACACCAAGUGGGAAACUCAGAAAUAGGAAAUGCAAACAACUAAUAAAAUAUACUUCGGGGACAUUUAAUAUAUAUAUAUUUUUAACAACAGGGUCAAUAUAUGUGCUUUGUACACAUCUCUUACUCUGUAAAUUUGAGUAUUUUAAUUAAAUUCCCAUGGACAGAGGGAGAGCAUAUUCUGUUGAUCUCAGUUUUCAUUUGUAAACUAGGGAUAUACACCUACUUCACCACGUUGUUUAAAGAUUAAGCUACAAAAGUAAAGUGCCUAACACUCCUGAGCAGGCAUAGACUGAUGUUAUUUUUCUUCCUUUUUUGAAUAUUUAAAGAGUCACUGUGAAUAUAUGUUGGUGAAGAUGGCUCUGGUCAUGACUUCCCACCUCUUGUUUCUAAUCAGUGCUGAGCCCACAACCAUCUGUAUUAGCACAUUUGGUAAGAAGUGUAGGGAAACAGGAAAUACCAAAGGCAAUUGUGACGAAUCUAUAUGUUCUUCUAAGAAGCUGACCACUGUUCACGAUAAAUUUCUCUUGAUUUAUUUUCAUCCCUGGACCUUUGUUCAGUAAGACCCCAUUUACCAUAAUAUAUAUUUCUUCUCUGUGAGUUUCACGUAAUUUCAUUCACCUAGGGUGAGUCCUUAUGAUGUGGGCACUAACCUAAUUUUAAACAUGAUAAACCUUUAUGUUAAAGUUCUUAAUUUAGUCCCCUUCUGCCUCUCUUACUGUACUUUGCACUAUGUAACGCUGGAUCUACCAAACCUUUGGAGUUUAAUCUGCUUCUCCAGGAUGCAAGUCAAAUCCCCUACUGUCAAUAAAGCACUAUGAUGAAAGAAAAUAAUCUGCACCCUUAGCGAUUACUGCAUUUGCUUCAUUUAUUCAACAAAUAUCUAUUAAGUGUCUACUAUGUGCCGAGGAUAUAGAGGAACAAAACAGACCCGUCUCAUUCUCGUGGUGGAGUUGGGAUGAUGGAGCUAAUACAAUGACCCCUACCUUCAAAAACUCAGUGCUGCUCCCCUGGAUAGAGUGAGGCUUAAACAUGAAAAUUUGAGGAACGCUGAGCAGGAAUAGAAGGAAAGCCUACAUUUUUAUCAUUUCAACCUCUUUGCUUUUCAGAGAAUAAUUAACUCCUUGGCUGUGAAUGAUGGAUGCAUGGAGAAUUCUACCUCUUGCCUGCAGGCUAUUUGCUAGCUUCUUUUAAUAUUUUUCCUAUAACCUUAAGAUCUAUGAAUAGAUUUGUUUGUUGUGGAGAAGAUUAAAUUAGAUGGCAUAAUCUCACAUUGGAGAGGGGCAUAUACUUAUUUAGGAAGUGAGUUUACAGUUCACAACCAGGAUGGCUCAAAGGGAUCUCAAACUGAACAUGUUCAAAACCUAAUCCCACAUCUUCCUCUACGCAGAUCCGCUACAUCCUACCUUCUCUGUGACGACUUUGAAAAGUGUCCAUGAAUUCUUUGACACUCUUUUCAAAAGGUGGAGCCUAAUUUCCCGUCCCUUAAGUGUGGACUGAUGAUUUGCUUCUAAAGAACAGAAUAAGGUGGAAUGGAUGGUAGGUGACUUCUAAGGCUAGGUCCUAAAAAGCACUGUGUGCUUUGUUCUCUCUUGGGUCUCUCAGUCUGGGAGAAACCAGCUACCCUGUUGUAAGGACAGUCAAGCAGCCCUGUGGAGAGUCCAUGUGGCAAGGAACUGAGGCUUCCUGUGAAAAUCCAGGAAGGAACUGAAGCCUUCUGCCAACAGCCAUGUGAACGAGCCAUCUUGGAGGCAGAUCCUGCAGCCUGGCUAAUGUCUUGAUGGCAACUUAACAAGAUACCUUAAGCCAGAACCAUCUAGCUAAUACACUCUUGAAUUCCUAUUACAAACACUGGGAAAUAAUCAAUGUUUGUUGUUUUAAGCUGCUAAACUUUGAUAUUAUUUAUUUUAUUCAUUUAUUUUUUG